rnacentral:rRNA from 1 species
AUUGAACGCUGGCGGCAGGCCUAACACAUGCAAGUCGAGCGGAUGAAGGGAGCUUGCUCCUGGAUUCAGCGGCGGACGGGAGAGUAAUGCCUAGGAAUCGGCCUGGUAGUGGGGGAUAACGUCCGGAAACGGGCGCUAAUACCGCAUACGGCCUGAGGGAGAAAGUGGGGGAUAUUCGGACCUCACGCUAUCAGAUGAGCCUAGGUCGGAUUAGCUAGUUGGUGGGGUAAACGCCUACCAAGGCGACGAUAAGUAACUGCUCUGAAAGGAUGAUCAGGCACACGGGAACUGAGACACAGUCGAGACACCGGAGGGAGGACGCAGUGCAGAAUAUUACACGAUGGAGGAGAGCCGGAUCUAGCCAAGUCGAGUGUGUGCAGAUGGUGCUCGGAUGGUAGAGCACUGUAAGUUGGGAGAUAGGAAAGCAAGUUAAUACCUGGAUAUAUUGACGUUACCAACAGAAUAAGCCCCGGCUAACUACGUG